AGAGUUUGAUCAUGGCUCAGGAUGAACGCUAGCUACAGGCUUAACACAUGCAAGUCGAGGGGAAACGACAUCGAAAGCUUGUCUUUUGAUGGGCGUCGACCGGCGCACGGGUGAGUAACGCGUAUCCAACCUGCCCACCACUUGGGGAUAACCUUGCGAAAGUAAGACUAAUACCCAAAUGAUAUCUCUAGAAGACAUCUGAAAGAGAUUAAAGAUUUAUCGGUGAUGGAUGGGGAUGCGUCUGAUUAGCCUGUUGGCGGGGUAACGGCCCACCAAGGCAACGAUCAGUAGGGGUUCUGAGAGGAAGGUCCCCCACAUUGGAACUGAGACACGGUCCAAACUCCUACGGGAGGCAGCA
rnacentral:rRNA from 1 species